GUUUUGGACCUCUCAAGGACAAAUAAGAAAAAUGGCAGUUGUUAUCGUAAGGUACACUCAUAAGGUACUAACAUUCAAAUCAGCUUCUAGUGGCUUAUCUAUAUAACCUUUAUUAUGCAAACACCCACUUCUUACCAAUGGAGGGUAAGAGUAUCAUGCAUCCACAUGCAUAUAGAACUCAUUUAUUGGCGCUACUGUCCCUUUAACACUCGCACUGCUAAGUUAAGCUCCAAACAAGAUUCAGUCUUCCGUGGAUUUCUCCCCAUGGCAGUCGCACUAGAGCAGAGCAACAUGAUGUUAUGCAAAGGCCACAGUGAGCUGCUGAAGUUUCAGGGGUCCCAGAGGAAGGAGAGAGAGUUCAUCAUGUACAAGUUUUGUGAGGCAUGGAACCUGGUACUGAGACUUACAAACAAACACAACUCUCUGCAGUCACAGCUGGAGGAAGCUAUGAAGCAGCACCAGAGAUUAGAGAAGAAAAGUCAAGAGCAGACACAGUAAGAAAAUACCAUUUUGACUGGCCAGAGACUCCAGGGCCAGAGGGUAGCUUGACUGCUGGAGGAGAAGGUCCAGAUUGAGAUUCAAUCAGGCAGACUGUGCCAGAUGACGAGGGGCCAGCCCCAAACAAGCAGCAACUGUCCGAGGAGAGGAAUUCAGUGAAAGCCCAGGGGACUUCUCUUUUGGGGGAGCUGAAAGAGUCAGACAAGUCUGGAGAUUUGCAUGCAGGAAAAGAGAGAGCUAGAGGACAGCCUCCGUAACACCCUUGAGGAGAAGAAAGGGUGGAAAGCACAAGCGAAGCAACAGGUUGUUCAACUGGACCAAUGAAUGAUGCAAGUGCAGUAUCUGGAAACAACACUGAAAAUGGAGAGACAAAAUGCCACAGAAGAGAAGAACAGACUUGUUAUAAAGGCCCAAGGGUCAUUAGCAGCCUGGUUGUAUUUGCCUUGGGGUCAUUACCUACCUUAGUUAUAAAGGCCUGAGGGUCAUUAGCUGGCCUGUUUGUUAUUGCCUGAGGGUCAUUAGUAGCCUGGUUAUAAAAGCAUGAGGUUUAGUAGCUGACCUGGUUAUAAGGCCCUGCAAUGAUGUUCAGCUGGCCUAGACAGAAUUAUCUUUUUUACUUGUUAAAGGAGAACUAAAGCCUAACAAAAGAAGUAGCUAGAAUGUUGUACAUUAUGUUUUGGUCUUCUGUACCAGCCCAAGGCA